rnacentral:rRNA from 1 species
AGUGAACGCUGGCGGCAGGCCUAACACAUGCAAGUCGAACGGCAGCACAGUAAGAGCUCGCUUUUUCGGGUGGUUACUGGCGGAUGGGUGAUGAAUACAUCCCCAUCUACUUUUUCGUGGGUGAUUACGUGGGGCAACUUACGCUACUACCGCAUACGACCUACUGGUUGAAGCUUGGUAUCUUCCUACCUCUCGCUAUCUAAUGACUCGAUGUCGGAUUAGUUAGUUGGCGGGGUAAAGGCCCACCAAGGCGACGAUCCGUAGCUGGUCUGAGAGGAUGAUCAGACAAACUGGAACUGAGACACGGUCCAGACUCCUACGGGAGGAAGAAGUGGGGAAUAUUGGAAAAUGGGCGAAAGCCUGAUCCAGCAAGACCGCGUGGGGGAAGAAGGCCUUCGGGCUGUAAAGCCCGUUUGGUGGGAAGGAAGGGCAGCAGGUUAAUAACCCGCUGUUGUGACGGUACCCAAAGAAUAAGCACCGGCUAACUUCGUG